rnacentral:lncRNA from 1 species
AAAAUAAUAGAUAAAUAAAAAAUGCCUUGGAUUAAAUUGAAAUUUAAAUAAUACUUAGGGGCCAAUUUAGAAAAAAAUAAAUGAUAGGGUCAAUUGGGGGAUUAAAAUAAAUCACGCGCAAAAGUGCGGGGACUGAAAAAAAAAUUAUUCUGAUCACCCAUGAGCACCGUUUCACGGAGGGAUCUGAUCAAAAACCAAACGAAAUUCUGG